GAGUUUUGAUCUUGGCUCAGAUUGAACGCUGGCGGCAUGCCUUACACAUGCAAGUCGAACGGCAGCACGGGAGCUUGCUCCUGGUGGGCGAGUGGCGAACGGGUGAGUAAUGCAUCGGAACGUAUCCUGGAGUGGGGGAUAACGUAGCGAAAGUUACGCUAAUACCGCAUAUUCUGUGAGCAGGAAAGCGGGGGACCUUUCGGGCCUCGCGCUCUUGGAGCGGCCGAUGUCGGAUUAGCUAGUUGGUGAGGUAAAGGCUCACCAAGGCGACGAUCCGUAGCAGGUCUGAG
rnacentral:rRNA from 1 species